rnacentral:rRNA from 1 species
UACGAAGGGGGCUAGCGUUGCUCGGAAUUACUGGGCGUAAAGGGCGCGUAGGCGGCCUGUUAAGUCGAACGUGAAAUCCCCGGGCUCAACCCGGGAACUGCGUCCGAUACGGGCAGGCUAGAGUUCGGUAGGGGAGACUGGAAUUCCUGGUGUAGCGGUGAAAUGCGCAGAUAUCAGGAGGAACACCGGUGGCGAAGGCGGGUCUCUGGGCCGAUACUGACGCUGAGGAGCGAAAGCGUGGGGAGCGAACAGG